rnacentral:rRNA from 1 species
GGCGGGUGCUUACCAUGCAGUCGAACGGUGAAGCCCAGCUUGCUGGGUGGAUCAGUGGCGAACGGGUGAGUAACACGUGAGCAACCUGCCCUGGACUCUGGGAUAAGCGCUGGAAACGGCGUCUAAUACUGGAUAUGAGACGUGGCCGCAUGGUCAACGUUUGGAAAGAUUUUUCGGUCUGGGAUGGGCUCGCGGCCUAUCAGCUUGUUGGUGAGGUAAUGGCUCACCAAGGCGUCGACGGGUAGCCGGCCUGAGAGGGUGACCGGCCACACUGGGACUGAGACACGGCCCAGACUCCUACGGGAGGCAGCAGUGGGGAAUAUUGCACAAUGGGCGGAAGCCUGAUGCAGCAACGCCGCGUGAGGGAUGACGGCCUUCGGGUUGUAAACCUCUUUUAGCAAGGAAGAAGCUUUUGUGACGGUACUUGCAGAAAAAGCGCCGGCUAACUACGUGCCAGCAGCCGCGGUAAUACGUAGGGCGCAAGCGUUAUCCGGAAUUAUUGGGCGUAAAGAGCUCGUAGGCGGUUUGUCGCGUCUGCUGUGAAAUCCCGAGGCUCAACCUCGGGCCUGCAGUGGGUACGGGCAGACUAGAGUGCGGUAGGGGAGAUUGGAAUUCCUGGUGUAGCGGUGGAAUGCGCAGAUAUCAGGAGGAACACCGAUGGCGAAGGCAGAUCUCUGGGCCGUAACUGACGCUGAGGAGCGAAAGGGUGGGGAGCAAACAGGCUUAGAUACCCUGGUAGUCCACCCCGUAAACGUUGGGAACUAGUUGUGGGGUCCUUUCCACGGAUUCCGUGACGCAGCUAACGCAUUAAGUUCCCCGCCUGGGGAGUACGGCCGCAAGGCUAAAACUCAAAGGAAUUGACGGGGACCCGCACAAGCGGCGGAGCAUGCGGAUUAAUUCGAUGCAACGCGAAGAACCUUACCAAGGCUUGACAUACACGAGAACACCCUAGAAAUAGGGGACUCUUUGGACACUCGUGAACAGGUGGUGCAUGG